GUUAAGUGACAGGGCCUGAGUCCAAACAGAUGGGAACAACGCAGUCUGGGUUCGCACCACGCUCUCUCUGACCACAAAACCCCCGUUCUCGCCACAUCACCCCCGAUGAGCUUGCGUCUCUGGCGGGGCACACCUGCUUCCACCCCUCGAUGUACAGAGGAAGGCACAGAUGCCCCAAGACAUCCAGCCGGCCGCCAAGGGCCCAGGAGGACCCAGGUCACUGCCAAGGCUCGAUUCCCCACAACGCCAGGCUAACCUCGAACUGCUUGACCAGAAACCACUGCAAACCAGAGCAAGAGCGAGUUUGGGUCUGGGGGUGUGGUGGUGGUCCAGGACGCUCGUUCCACAGAAACACCAGAUGGCAGAGCCGUGGGGGCCGGGGUUGGGGGAGACUGAAUGGGGCCGUGUGCACUCUGGUGCCCACCGCACCCGACUUCUCACUCUGUGCCAUGCAGGCCCGGAGGGACCGGGGGGCCACGGACAGGGACCCUGGGAGAAUGAAGACACUUAUUUCCAGAGCACCUGUUUGCCCCAUGGGAGCUGUCCCCUCCUAAACAUCUACUUUCCACCUGCUUCUCGGUGCCCCCCUGGAGGUAGCUGUGACUCAGCAGUGUCCCUUGCCCGUGUGCCGGAUGGAGCCAUUGACGAUUCAAG
rnacentral:lncRNA from 1 species